rnacentral:rRNA from 1 species
UACGAAGGGGGCUAGCGUUGCUCGGAAUCACUGGGCGUAAAGGGUGCGUAGGCGGGUCUUUAAGUCAGGGGUGAAAUCCUGGAGCUCAACUCCAGAACUGCCUCUGAUACUGGGGAUCUUGAGUCCGGAAGAGGUAAGUGGAACUGCGAGUGUAGAGGUGAAAUUCGUAGAUAUUCGCAAGAACACCAGUGGCGAAGGCGGCUUACUGGUCCGGUACUGACGCUGAGGUGCGAAAGCGUGGGGAGCAACAGG